rnacentral:rRNA from 1 species
GCUAUACAUGCAGUCGAGCGGACUUGUGGGAGCUUGCUCCCGCAAGUUAGCGGCGGACGGGUGAGUAACACGUGGGCAACCUGCCUGUAAGACUGGGAUAACUUCGGGAAACCGGAGCUAAUACCGGAUAACUUCUUUCUCUGCAUGGAGAAAGGUUAAAAGACGGCGUCUAGCUGUCACUUACAGAUGGGCCCGCGGCGCAUUAGCUAGUUGGUGAGGUAACGGCUCACCAAGGCGACAAUGCGUAGCCAACCUGAGAGGGUGAUCGGCCACACUGGGACUGAAACACGGCCCAAACUCCUACGGGAGGCAGCAGUAGGGAAUCUUCCGCAAUGGACGAAAGUCUGACGGAGCAACGCCCCGUGAGUGAUGAAGGUUUUCGGAUCGUAAAACUCUGUUGUUAGGGAAAAACAAGUACCGGAGUAACUGCCGGUACCUUGACGGUACCUAACCAGAAAGCCACGGCUAACUACGUGCCAGCAGCCGCGGUAAUACGUAGGUGGCAAGCGUUGUCCGGAAUUAUUGGGCGUAAAGCGCGCGCAGGCGGUCUUUUAAGUCUGAUGUGAAAUCUCGUGGCUCAACCACGAACGGUCAUUGGAAACUGGGAGACUUGAGUGCAAAAAAGAAGAGCGGAAUUCCACGUGUAGCGGUGAAAUGCGUAGAGAUGUGGAGGAACACCAGUGGCGAAGGCGGCUCUUUGGUCUGUAACUGACGCUGAGGCGCGAAAGCGUGGGGAGCGAACAGGAUUAGAUACCCUGGUAGUCCACGCCGUAAACGAUGAGUGCUAAGUGUUAGAGGGUUUCCGCCCUUUAGUGCUGCAGCAAACGCAUUAAGCACUCCGCCUGGGGAGUACGGCCGCAAGGCUGAAACUCAAAGGAAUUGACGGGGGCCCGCACAAGCGGUGGAGCAUGUGGUUUAAUUCGAAGCAACGCGAAGACCCUUACCAGGUCUUGACAUCCCGCUGACCGCUCUGGAGACAGAGCUUUCCCUUCGGGGACAGCGGUGACAGGUGGUGCAUGGUUGUCGUCAGCUCGUGUCGUGAGAUGUUGGGUUAAGUCCCGCAACGAGCGCAACCNUUUGAUCUUAGUUG